ncrna:Salmonella enterica subsp. enterica serovar Choleraesuis str. ATCC 10708 EFASI RNA
AAAGAUCGAUACCGAGGGGGGGGGGGGCUGAUGCCCCGGAGAAUUUCUGCUCACGCAGGCAGCCUGUACCGCGUACAGUCUGAAACUCCCUAUACCUCAACAAACUGCCACUCCGGCGUAAAGGUAUCGUUCU